GAUGAACGCUAGCUACAGGCUUAACACAUGCAAGUCGAGGGGUAACAAGGGAAAAGCUUGCUUUUCUUGUUGACGACCGGCGCACGGGUGAGUAACGCGUAUCCAACCUGCCUAUAACUAGGGAAUAACCUUGCGAAAGUAAGACUAAUACCCUAUGAUUUCCUUUGAUGGCAUCAGAUUAGGAAUAAAGAUUUAUCGGUUAUAGAUGGGGAUGGGUCUGAUUAGCUUGUUGGCGGGGUAACGGCCCACCAAGGCAACAAUCAGUAGGGGUUCUGAGAGAAAGGUCCCCCAAGUUGGAGCUGAGGCGCGGUUCAAACUCCUACGGAAGGCAGAGGUGAGGAAUAUUGGUCAAUAGGCGGAAGCGUGAACCAGCCAAGUAGCGUGCAGGAUGACGGCCCUAUGGGUUGUAAACUGCCUUUAUACAGGAAUAAAGUUAGCCACGUGUGGUUAUUUGUAGGUACUGUAUGAAUAAGGACCGGCUAAUUCCGUGCCAGCCGCCGCAGUAA
rnacentral:rRNA from 1 species